rnacentral:rRNA from 1 species
AUUGAACGCUGGCGGCAGGCCUAACACAUGCAAGUCGAGCGAGUGGCGGACGGGUGAGUAAUGUAUGGGAAACUGCCUGGUGGAGGGGGAUAACUACUGGAAACGGUAGCUAAUACCGCAUACCAUCAGAUGUGCCCAUAUGGGAUUAGCUUGUUGGUGGGGUAACGGCUCACCAAGGCGACGAUCCCUAGCUGGUCUGAGAGGAUGACCAGCCACACUGGGACGGAGACACGGCCCAGACUCCUACGGGAGGCAGCAGUGGGGAAUCUUCGACAAUGGACGAAAGCCUGACCGAGCCACGCCGCGUGAAUGAAGAAGGUUUUCGGAUCGUAAAACACUGUUGUCAGAGAAGCGGUAUCUACACAAAAAGCCCCGGCUAACUACGUGCCAGCAGCCGCGGUAAUUC